AUUGAACGCUGGCGGCAGGCCUAACACAUGCAAGUCGAGCGGAUGAAGGGAGCUUGCUCCUGGAUUCAGCGGCGGACGGGUGAGUAAUGCCUAGGAAUCUGCCUGGUAGUGGGGGAUAACGUCCGGAAACGGGCGCUAAUACCGCAUACGUCCUGAGGGAGAAAGUGGGGGAUCUUCGGAACUCACGCUAUCAGAUGAGCCUAGGUCGGAUUAGCUAGUUGGUGGGGUAAAGGCCUACCAAGGCGACGAUCCGUAACUGGUCUGAGAGGAUGAUCAGUCACACUGGAACUGAGACACGGUCCAGACUCCUACGGGAGGCAGCAGUGGGGAAUAUUGGACAAUGGGCGAAAGCCUGAUCCAGCCAUGCCGCGUGUGUGAAGAAGGUCUUCGGAUUGUAAAGCACUUUUAGUUGGGAGGAAGGGCAGUAAGUUAAUACCUUGCUGUUUUGACGUUACCAACAGAAUAAGCACCGGCUAACUUCGUG
rnacentral:rRNA from 1 species